UGCAUGCCCUGGCCUGCCCUGGCCAGAAUCGAACCCGGGACCCUUCCGUCCGAUGCUCUAUCCACUGAGCCAAACCGGUUUCGGCUCUUCCCCCACUUUUAAGUGUGUGGACAGAUUGAUGGCGGGGGAAAGGGGAGCUUUGGGAGGACUACGUGCACCCGAGUACAUUAGUGCUUGGGUUAGGAAAGUCUGCUCCCGGCGGCAGUCUGUGAAGAGCGCGUGGCAGCAUGUGCACUGUCAUGUGAUACCCCGAGUUCAGGAGCCCACGGGUAACAAACUGCUGAGGUGAGCUUGGCUCCAGAUGCCUACUGCCCCCGGGGUACAGAUAAGGAAACAGCCUGGAGAAUUUAUGACCUACCCGAGGCCAGAAACUGAGAGGCAGAUAAGCUGGAGGCCAAACCGAGACCUCAUUCCCCAGAGCGAGUGCUCCCACUGCUGGCCUUGCCCCACCUUUGCAGGCGUGGGAACUGCAUCGGACGUGUCACGGUGGAUAUGGACGGUCUCUACCUACAAGGACUGAGAUACGAUUUUUGACUUCACGGUGGUAUGGAGGUGGUACGCACUUGGUAGAAACUGUGCUUUGAAUUGUGAUCAUUGUGAUCAUACCCUCUCGCGCUGCAGGUCCCGGCAGCAGUGUGGUCAGUGGCUUCAGCGAUAGCAAAAUGUUGCUCUUUCUCUGCAUUCCAUGCUGGAAUAAUAAUCUGAGGCUUGGUCGAGUAAGUGGUACAGAAUGACAUCAGCGAAAAUGGCAGAGUAAGGAACUUCAAACUGUCCCUCUAAAAGCAGCAAAUGAACUGGAGAAAUUGGAGUCAUUUUUUUUUUUUUUUUUAAACACUGGAAUCUAGGAAAGACUGGUGAAGUUUGGUAAGAGAUCUGUGAUCCUCUACAUUCCCAUCUUGGAAGUGGCCUUGAAGACAGCAAUCCAUAUUCUUGGUGUGGGUUGCUGAUACUAAGGAGCAAUAUGGACCUAACUCUCAGGAAACUGUAUUGUGUGCGUUACUAUCUGGCGGAAGGGCUUGCCUUUGCUUUGCCGGCCUCACAGCUGCCUGGCGUAGCUUCCCAGGCAGCAUGUGUGGAAACGUUACAGAAAACGCAUCAGCACUGCCACUGGGGCUACGUUUACCAGCCCGGGAAGCAAGAAACAGACAGGAAACCGAGGAAGGGAGAGACUGGGGAGGCAGGCACUUGGAGGAAGAGGGUUUAGAAAUGUCCCUCUGACCCUGGGAAACCAAGAGGGCCUCACGCAUGCACUGUUCGGACACCUGCUUGGAACACGCCUGAGAAGACCCCAAGCUCUCACCUCUGGCUGACCUCCAGGCUCUGCAAGCAGAAGUGAAGGCCAAGGCAAGUUGCACACUGACUAAGCGCUGAAGGAGUGCCCCAAUACACGGCUAACUGGCAAAGGCUGGGAGAAUUUGUUUGCGUUUUGGCUU